rnacentral:rRNA from 1 species
UACGAAGGGGGCUAGCGUUGCUCGGAUUGACUGGGCGUAAAGGGCGCGUAGGCGGUUCGUACAGUCAGACGUGAAAUUCCUGGGCUCAACCUGGGGGCUGCGUUUGAUACGUGCGGGCUUGAGUUCGGAAGAGGGUCGUGGAAUUCCCAGUGUAGAGGUGAAAUUCGUAGAUAUUGGGAAGAACACCGGUGGCGAAGGCGGCGACCUGGUCCGAUACUGACGCUGAGGUGCGAAAGCGUGGGGAGCAAACAGG